UACGUAGGGGGCAAGCGUUGGCCGGAUUUAUUGGGCGUAAAGAGCGUGUAGGCGGCCAGACAGGUCCGUUGUGAAAACUCGAGGCUCAACCUCGAGACGCCGAUGGAAACCGUCUGGCUAGAGUCCGGAAGAGGAGAGUGGAAUUCCUGGUGUAGCGGUGAAAUGCGCAGAUAUCAGGAAGAACACCCGUGGCUAAGGCGGCUCUCUAGUACGGUACUGACGCUGAGACGCGAAAGCGUGGGGAGCGAACAGG
rnacentral:rRNA from 1 species